UAAUGUAUGGGGAUCUGCCCGAUAGAGGGGGAUAACUACUGGAAACGGUGGCUAAUACCGCAUAAUGUCUACGGACCAAAGCAGGGGCUCUUCGGACCUUGCACUAUCGGAUGAACCCAUAUGGGAUUAGCUAGUAGGUGGGGUAAAGGCUCACCUAGGCGACGAUCUCUAGCUGGUCUGAGAGGAUGAUCAGCCACACUGGGAUUGAGACACGGCCCAG
rnacentral:rRNA from 1 species